rnacentral:rRNA from 1 species
GAUGAACGCUGGCGGCGUGCUUAACACAUGCAAGUCGAACGAUGAAGCCCAGCUUGCUGGGUGGAUUAGUGGCGAACGGGUGAGUAACACGUGAGUAACCUGCCCUUAACUCUGGGAUAAGCCUGGGAAACUGGGUCUAAUACCGGAUAGGAGCGUCCACCGCAUGGUGGGUGUUGGAAAGAUUUAUCGGUUUUGGAUGGACUCGCGGCCUAUCAGCUUGUUGGUGAGGUAAUGGCUCACCAAGGCGACGACGGGCAGCCGGCCUGAGAGGGUGACCGGCCACACUGGGACUGAGACACGGCCCAGACUCCUACGGGAGGCAGCAGUGGGGAAUAUUGCACAAUGGGCGCAAGCCUGAUGCAGCGACGCCGCGUGAGGGAUGACGGCCUUCGGGUUGUAAACCUCUUUCAGUAGGGAAGAAGCGAAAGUGACGGUACCUGCAGAAGAAGCACCGGCUAACUACGUG